GCCUAACGGCUGAACUGGCAACUUGGAGAAGUGGCAAGUCUUCCAGUAUGGGGAGCAGAUGGGAGCAAAACAGUAUGGUCAAUUCUGAUAUUCUUAGGAGGGGGAAGCUCCUUUUUAUGAGGCUGAGUUAUAGACACCAUAGGCGUCUGGCCGUCCCAUAUGAAAGAUUAUAUUAGAAUUGAAUGAAGCUUGUUUAUAUAUGAUAANCGACAGUAUAUAUUUUGAUCUAAUUGCGGGGCAGUCCUGUCGCGGUAAUACGUAAGCGANUAAUUCAAGUCAUUCGUAUUAGGUUUAAAGGGUACCCAGACGGUCAAUAUAGCUAUAAAAGUUAGUAGUA
rnacentral:rRNA from 1 species